UCUCGAGGACAACAAAUUAUUCUAUUGAAAACAUUCACAAGCUAAGUGCAUCUCUAACCCUGGCAAAAACGUUAGGCUAAUCCACAGCCAACCAAAACAGCGGAUGUGGUCCCUCAGUCUCACCUUGUCUUCCUGAGCUCUGCGACAUACGGCAUGAUGGGACUUGCGGUCCGGAGAGGGUUUGGGGUGAAGGAGGGGAGAGGGGUGAGGAGGAGAGGGACGAGGAGGAGAGAUAUGUUCAUCUUCCUCCUCCUCCUCCAGCACCACGAUACACACACGGCUCGCACGCUCCGACCGCAUCGUUAACACACAUAUACAACGUACCCCCCUUAUACAGACACACACAUUGUACCGCUCACAUACACACACGGCUCUGUAGUUCCAACUGCCCUCGUUCUCUUAAAAACACAUUUCAGAAGAAUCAAAACACCCUAGGAACUGGAGAAUAGACUAGCCGACUACAACAGACAGGGAGUGUUAAGGCAAGUGUGUGUAUAUUGGAAGGAUAUUGGCAGACAGAGGGUGCAUACUCUUGAGUAGGCAGUACACUAAACAACUUGUAGAGUGUCAAGGACCUUUGGAUACACUCACGUGCAAACACCCCUUUUGGACUUUACACCUGUUGCUGACCAGCUGAGAGUUAUCUGUCAUGACGCCAGGUGACUUUACAUGUAGUUAUGCUUUGACAAAGUCAUUUUCUGGCAAAAAUAAGUUGGCUAAAGCAAUAUAACUUACAUAUAUACCAGGCUUUAACUUCGGCUAAAUAUAUAGCUAGCUAAUUAUGAGAGUUUCGAGUCGUUUGUACUUUAUGCAAACGACCCAAAUGUAGGCUAAUUUAGCUAAACGACAGGCUGUUUCUUUAAGUAACGUUAGCUCGGAUAGUUACUAAUAGCUAAUUAGCCCUCAACUUACCUGGUCUCGAAUCUUUAGAACCAUCGUUUUUCUUGGUUCGCCGAUGUCUUAGAUUUACCGGCGUGUCUAGCUAACCGGCUGCUGAGGGUUAUGGCCCGUUAUAGUCCCGUUUGCAUCACGCUCUCUCCUUCCAAAGACAGGAACGCAAGAAACCAAACAAACCCAACAACAUAACAGCCGCUAGUAAGAAGACUAUUGAUUGGCUAGAGGCAAGUUCCCCCCAGCAGCAAUAACGAUGCUGGUUAGCCAGCUGCAGAUGAGCGUUGCGAAUAAGGGAUUCGUUUAUCUGUCCCGGGUUACCAAGUGUGUGGAGUUUGAACCGGGUGAAAAGUGAUUGCAUUUGUUUUGGAACCAGGCUGCCUGCCUGCCUGCCUGCCUCCAGGGCGUGAGCCGAGUGCCCCGCUCUGGCCGACUGCGAUGUCGACUCAAAACUACAGUGACGCAAAAAAGCAUGUGGAGUGAUGAGUAGGAUUCUGUGUUUUCACAUGCAAAAGUGAUUGGUUUUGACAAAAAUGCUUUUAUCUGCCUUCCCAAGGAAAACUAGCUUGAAAAUUCAAACAUUUAUUUUAUGGAAAAGAGAUGUUGUAUGUUUCUGGACGAUGCACAAUGAUGACUUCCUUGUUGACAACAUGACCAAGCCAGAUUUUGAGAAGGGCAUUCCUCCCUGCUUUCCCCGAUGGUGACGGGCAAUUUCAAGGUUCAGCCCUGGCCAGCCCCAGCCAGCGUAAUAUAACUCCUUCCGUGUUUCAUUGAGAAAAUCCAUUUAGAAAAUAUUUGACAUAAUGGACCUAGAAUAAAAAUGUGGGAUAGAUAGGCGCAGGGGAGCAACUUUCACUGGGGAUGGGAACGGAGACGACAUGUCCCCCACAUUAUGAAAUUGCAUUUUUGUCCCCCCAGGUUUAUCAUUGGAAUGGGAUACAACACGAGGCUAGGGUGUGCUUUAGGACCAGGCGGACUUCUCCGAGCGGGCUGAUGUUUAGAGUGUAACAGAACUGGAGAAAACAACUAUAUAUAUAUAAGUUAUUUGCCCCCACUUCUAAAACCAAAGUUGCGCCCGUGGUCAUAGGUCUACUGUAUGUGCAUCUCUCAGAUUUGACAAUUGAUUGAAAACUCCCACUAUUAAUCAUUAUGAAAUAGAUUAGUUCAACUGUAAACGUUAACUGUAGCUAGUACCUCUACACAGCAAUUCUAAUAACUACUUUUGCCCUUCCCUGUAGCUCAGUUGGUAGAGCAUGGUGUUUGCAACGCCAGGGUUGUGGGUUUGAUUCCCACGGGGGCCAGCACAGAAAAAAACAAAAAUGUAUGAAAUGAAAUGUUUGAAAUGUAUGCAUUCACUACUGUAAGUCGCUCUGGAUAAGAGCAUCUGCUAAAUGACUAAAAUGUAAAAAUGUGAGGAGAUCUUGUGAAAUAAAAACCCUACAACCUGUCAAGCACUAAGGGGAUUCGAUAAAGCUGGGUGCCCAGGUAAGCAAAGUUGGCACAAAACAAAAGUGACGUAACUAAGUACGUGUGGAGUAAUGAGUAUGUGUAUGUGUUUUCACAUGUAAAAGUGAUAUUGCUUUUGAUACAAUACAAUAUUACUAUACUUCCCAAUGAAAACUAGUUUGAAAAUUCAAACAUAUAUUUUAUGGAGAAGAGAUGUAUAGACCAUGCACUAUGCUGCCUUGUUGAACACUUCCAAGCAGCAGAUUCUUGCUUGAUUUGAGAAGGGCGCUCCUCCCUCACCGCUUUUGACAUGAAUGUCACGGGCCAUAGACUGGUGCUCUGCGGCAAAACAAAACUACCUCAUGAAGCUGGUUGAGAGAAUGCCAAGAGUGUGCAAAGCUGUCAUCAAGUCAAAGGGUGGCUACUUUGAAGAAUCUCACAUAUAAAAUAUAUUUGGAUUUAACACUUUUUUAGUUACCACAUGAUUAAAUAUUUGUUAUUUCAUAGUUUUGAUGUUUACAGUAUUAUUCCA
rnacentral:lncRNA from 8 species